CAAUGCAUGAUCUACAGUAAAAGGUGCAUUGCAUACAAAACAUAAACCCAUUUCCAUCUUCUCUUCUACUUCCACAGCACUCAAAAUUUUCACACUCUUGUAUUUUGGACCCAUAAUGCGCAGAAUCCAAGGCUCAAGAUACCAAUUGUAACGGAUAAAUUAGAUUCUAGGGACGAAACCGAUAGAAUCAAGUCUCAAAGUAGGAAUUCUAACGAAUUGAAUAGAAUUCGAUACAAAUAAGAUUAUACAAACAUAAACUCUUAGUUUUGAGAGAAGAAGAUAAUUGUUCAUUCAUUCAUUCAUCCUUUUCAAAAUGAGGCACAAUUGCUUUAAAUACAACCACAAAGGCUAAAAAGGUAAUUGACAUAAAUAAAACUAUUUAUUUAAAAUAAACUAUUAAACUAUACCUAAUUCCUGUCACAAUACCCUCCCCUUCAAACAUCCUUGUCCUCGAGGAUGAACAAUCACAAGUGUCAUGUUUAAGAGGCAAGGCUUUCCAUUUGAUUAAAACUUUAGCAUCUCGAACAUUUCCCCUAUCGAUCAUCUUCCUGUGAAAAAUAACUAUAAAAGCAAACCAGUUCAGAACCUUUCCAUAUUGCCUUGAUGAAUAGUGUGCAGCAACAAACAUAGGUAAGCUCAAUGAGUAAUUGCUUAACAACACAUU
rnacentral:lncRNA from 1 species